rnacentral:lncRNA from 1 species
GGAGUGUAAUCCAAAGUGAAAGGGCAAGGGAGGUCUAGCUAGAGGGAGGGUGGCAGGGGAUCGGGGCCUGGUGUGGAAGUCAUGCGUUGCACUCAUGUGUGCAUGGACCCCAGCAGGGUAAGUGUGAGGCCACAGGCGGGACCCCAUGUGCCAUGCUUAGGGGUUCAGACAUUGUCCUGGAGAUGAUGAAGGACCCCUGAGAGUUUUAAGCAGAGUUGGGUGUGAAGAUGGAUCUGAGAGGCCAAGACCGAGCAGGGAGACAAGUCAUGAUGGUCCUGAUCCGAGACGGUGUGGGAGGUGGGAACUGACUUUAAGAUGGUGGAAAUGCAAAGCCAGGUGAUGUUUCUGGGACAGGAUUGACCAAAUCUAGUGACCUACUAGAUAUAGGGAGAAAAAAUAAGGAAAGCAUAGGGGAUCACACUGAGGGUUUGCAUUUGAGAGACUAGAGUCAGGAGGCAAGGCAGGAUGGGGGUGGAGAAGGGGAAUGAUGGGGCUGAAAUUAGACCACAGUGGUGGUGGGAAUGUGGACACUGAGGGAAGAGGAGGCAGUGAGCACACGAGUCUUUCAUGAUGUUUGGUGAUGAAGAGAAGGAGGGAUGUUCUGUAGCUUUAAAGGAUUUUUCAAAAGUAGGAGAAAGAACCUGUUUGUAAGUAGAGGGAAGAUACGGUAGAGAGGGAGAGAUCAUAGGGUGUAGAGAACUGCCAUUUGCUGAGUGGGUGCCGCUUGCAGGCCCGGAGCCAUGCCCUUAACAUGCAUAUCUCAUUUCAGCAGCAUGCCAACCCAUGGGGUAGCUCUACUUAUACCCAUUUUCUGAAUGAAGAAACUGAGGCAGACCGAUGGAUUCACCCAGGGAUGGGACUUGCUGAGCAGUUGAAGCAAAAGAAUAGAGUGACUGGGAAGGGAAGAAAAUGAAGUCAAACGAAAGCUAAUAGAAUGGGGUGGCGGAGUGCGGGGCUUAACGGGCUGAGGGGUGUCUAUAUUCCAGACGUGGGAUUUGGAGUUGUUCUGGCUAAUGUCAAAGACCACACACAAGGACAUGGACGUCAACGGUUCAUUCACAUGAGAUGACAGUUACCCAGGAUGAACCAACUGCAAAAAGCUGUCUGUGGAUGGUAACUGCAGGUGACCUGAAUGCAUGUGCCUCCUCCUUCUUUUUCCGCUUUUUGUCUUUUCCUUAAGCCUCUCUGAACAGUAUCUUCAGAAGUGUCUGUUUCCCACAGAGCAUGGUGUGUCCAAGAAAUACCCCACAUUCCCAUUGCCUUUGCUAUUUAAUGCUGUAGUUGGGAGAGGCAGUCUUGCUUUCUGCUUGCCUGUCUUUUUGGAGCACAUAUGAACUACAAAUAGAUACAGCCCACAUUUUGCCUCAAAGAUAUAUUCUUUGUUUUCUCCAAGUUGCCAAGUUGAACUCUAAGCUGAUGUUUAAUUUAUCUGUGGUAAUGAGGAACGGGGAUAGCCUUGCAUAAUUGGAAUCUGAAGAUAAGCCAAAAGCUUCUUUUAGCCAAAAUUCCUACAUCCUUUCCCACCAACUCUUUAUGCCUGUGUUGCUAACAAAUGGCAAAUUGACUAAUCUGAGUUUCACCAGUUCUUUGUGUGGUGUAUCUGACCUUUCACAAUGGGUUCAUACCAGAGUCCACUUCCAUGGUCCUUCAAGAUGUGGGUGUCUGGUUCUCAGGUAACCAACCAAAACCUUUGUACCUACCACUCAUGUAUAUUUCAGUUGAAGUUAGAAAAGCACCCCCUCAGUCUAUAGCUAACCUCUGGUGAAAUUGAGGAAUGAAUGAAUUGCUAAGCCAUCUAUAAAUAGAAUUCCGGGACAAUUCAUCUGAUGUGAGAGACAACCCUUUGAUAGGUUUCUGAGAAGAUGUGUGAAGCCACUACUCUCAAUUGUUCUUUCAUUUACUUUUUGCUAAUCAAAGCCCCAGACAUAUUCCAAAAUGUGAGAUGUUUUGGAAGAUUAACCAAAACACAAGCUGAAAUUUACCAGGGGCUCUGUAUAAAGUUAUACCCUUAGGCUUUUAUUCUCAAAGCCCUCCCAAGUACAGAAGUGUAGCAUGGGAUGAUGUGACAUAGAAUCGCAGAGUGGGAGGAGCCCACCAUACUUCAAUUCAGUGUAUCCAGAAGGAAAACUAAGGUUCACAGACUUGCUUAGGGGCUUAGUCAAGGGACUAUUUGUUCAGAACCAACAUUCAUACAAAGAGUCUUAAAUUUAAAAGGGGAUUUAUUUCAGAGAAACCUCAUGGAAACCAGUUGAAAGAGGGUUAGUGGGGACUUUCGGGAAGUGAAAAGUCGCUGGUUAAUUUCUCUGUUUCUAUCUCUGUGGGGCCUUGCAGAUUCUUUUCUUUGCUUCCGGGAGCCUUCUUCAUAUCUGCAGUGGAUAUGAGGUGAUAUGGUUUGGCUCUGUUCCCCACCCAAAUCUCAUCUCGAAUUGUAAUCCUACGAUCGCCACGUGUCAAGGGCAGAAACUGGUAGGAGGUGAUUGGAUCGUGGGGGCAGUGUGCUGUUCUCGUGAUAGUGAGUGAGUUCUCACGAGAUCUGAUGAUUUUAUAAAGGGCUCUUCCCCUUUCGCCAUUCACUCUGUCCUGCUGCCUUGUGAAGAAGGUGUCUGCUUCCUCUUCACCUUCUGCCAUGAUUGUCAGUUUCCUGAGGCCUUCCCAGCCAUGCUGAACUGUGAGUCAAUGAAACCUCUUUCCUUUAUAAAUUACCCAGUCUCGGGUAUUUCUUUAGAGCAGUGUGAGAAUGGACUAACACGAGGCUUCGCUGGUCUCUCAUGACCAACCCAAAAGGCAAGGUCAGCUUCCAUGUCUCAAUGGCCUUCCAGUGAGGCCCCUCACAGCUAACUGACCAGGGCAGGGGUCUCCUUGGUCCAGCUGAGAUCAGGGCCUGGCUCCGGCCCAUGCCUGUGGUAAGAGUGGGACUAUCCCUUGUGGAGCUGACAAGGGCUGACUCUCUGUAAGGGUGGCUAAGGCACUACUGGCCACUCUGGUGCCCCAGGAUGGCACAGGCAGGUCAGAACCUGGCUGUCACUCCAGGCCAGCCUUCUGCCACUGACUGGAAAGGUGGGCUCAAACACAACUGCAGUUAAAAGAGAGGAAUUGCCCCGGAGGUGAAUGCAGUCACCUGCAUAGGGGAAAAGGAGGUGAGAGGCCUGCUCUACUCCCCCUGAUCAGAUGCCAUCCAAGGGCACAUGGCUGACAUGUUUGAAGAAAAACCCAGAGUCAACUCAGAGCCCAACUCAGGCCUGAUAAAAAGUGACUAUGAUGAUGAAGAGAUUCAAAAUUAUGCUGCAGAAGGAAUGGCUGGAGGGUCUAGGCGUAUUUCACCUGGAAAGAGGAAGCUUUAAAGGAGAUGUGAGUCUUUUGUCCAAAUGUGUAGACUGACUAAAUUCUUUAAAGAGUUUUAUGUUUGUGUAUAUCUGAAGGGUCCAGAACUAGCAUCAAAGGGUAGAAUUUAGAGGGAGGAAGACUUUGGAUUAAAAUUAGGGGCCACAUACUUUCUGUGAGGGUAUCUUGAUAUUGGCUGCCCUGUCACAUUUAAGAAAGGAUGGGAUGAUCAUUCGUAAGAGAAGCUGUAGAGCUGAUCCACAAACUAAGGGAGUUCUGAAGUCUAUUCUAGUUUGGAAUUCUAUGGCUCUGCUGCAGGUGCAUCUGGUUGGCUGGAUUGAUUGCUAUCACAGGGGCAGAGGCCACUGUGUAUGAUCACUUAGGUCAGUGAAAUCAGUAGAGGCCAAGCGGCUGCACCACUGGAGGACAGCAGGUUGCCCUGAUCCUGAAUCCCUUCAACACUGGGCCUUCUCACAUCUGUUUGAGACAAGCCACUUUCAGCUGAGAUGCACUAGAUCCUUCAAGCCUCUCUACCACCCACAGGGUCACCAUCUGCUGGAGCGGCCAGUGGGGCUGCAGGUUACCCAUCAAAGCCCAAGCUAUGAAAUUGUCAUUGAGAGGAGUGCUUUAGACAUAGAGCUCAUUUGGUGGCAGAGAUCAGAAGCUUGUUCAAAGCAGCCUGGAAUUUUUAAAAGAAUAAGGGAAACAUGUAAAGGCAGCUUGCAGUCUAUCUGAGAAAACAAGACAUACCCUCAAGCAGAUAAUUGCCAUUUACAGUCAUUCCUAUGAUCUCAGCACUAUGUGGGUUUAAUCAGCCUUCUGCUAAAAGGAACCAGGUCCAAGACAUUCAGCAUGGCAUGGUAGCUAAGCAAGAUCCAGUGUCUUCAUUCAGCACUGACAGAGUCACUGUCUCUGAGCAGUACUUAGCUACAGAAACUUUGAAGCCUUCUGCAAUUUAUUAUGCUGAGUGCAUCUAAUCAACAUGUAGAAUAAAGAUGGAGCUCCAGAGAAGUUAGCACGCAAUCUGGGUGACAGGUGCUGAGCAAGGACAGCCUCUUCCCAAUACUCUCCAAGCGGCCUGCUGUUUCCAGGGAAUGAUAUUAUCAUUCUUGGCAUCUAGAACAGGACUCAAUGUAAGAUUGUCUAAGGCAGUCACUGGCUACAGUUCAUGGAAGCUUCAGGACGGCACUUGGCAUGAGCUCUCAGUGCUAUGGAAAAAAGAAGCUCUUAGGUGGAAUAUUUCUAGCUAAAAAAUGUAUAGUUUUUUUUGUUGUUGUUUCUGUUCCUUUCAUUUUUAUUUUUAGAAAUAGGAUUUCAAAGGGCAUUUGUCCUGGUCCCUCAGGAAAGAACAUUUUCUAAAGUGUUCCCAUCAACAAUGCCUCAGGUGUUACAGGUCCCUACUCUUGGCCAUCCAGCUCUGCCACCGUGCCUGGAUUCUGCAUUUUCAAAGGGACCAGCUUACCAGCAGCAUCCUCUUCCUGCUGCCUCUUGACUCACACAGAUCCCAUCAAUAAGCAUUCACUGAGGCCUGCUCUAAGUGAGGCUCUGGGGAGAGUGCUGUGGGAGCUUCAAGAGCAAUAGCAGCCCUGAGCUCCAGGAGCUUCCCCUCUGAGGUGGGGAAUUGCGAUGCAUGGAACAUCUCCAACACACAAAGCAGACUCUUGCUAGGCUUCGAACUGGAAUUGCAUUGAUCGUAUUAACUUGGGGGAGAUCUGAUAUAUUUAAAAGAAAAAAAUAAGCCGGGCAUGGCGGCUCACGUCUGUAAUCCCAGCACUUGGGGAGACUGAGGUAGGUGGAUCAUUUGAGGUCAGGAGUUUGAGACCAGCCUGGCCAACAUGGUGAGACCCCGUCUCUACUAAAAAUACAAAAAUUAGCCGGGCGUGGUGGGUGCCUGUAAGCCCAGCUACGUGGGAGGCUGAGGCAGGAGAAUCGCUUGAACUUGAGAGAUGGAGGCUGCAGUGAGCUGAGAUCAUGCCACUGCACUUCAGCCUGGGUGACAGAGUGAGACUCUGUCUCAAAAAAGAAAAAAAAAAAAAAAGAAAAAAAUAUAGGCGAUGGAACAGAAAAGUGGGCAGUGGCUAUGAAGAUGCAAUCCAAAUAUAAGGUAAUACUUAUCACCAAAGAAAUAGCAAUUAAGACAACAGUGAGACAGCAUCUUGUGUCUGUCAGAUUGGAGGAAAAAUACUAAAUUGAAUAAUGUGAAUUGUUGUUGAGGAUUGUGGAACUAGCCUUCCAUGAAACGUUUCUAGAAGUCUAAAUGAGUGUAGACACUCCAGAGAGCAAUCUGGCGGUAUUUAGCAAUCCCAUACCUGGGCAUAUAACUUGGACAAACUCUGAUUAUAACAGACUAGGCCCAAGGAUAUGUUUAUUGCAGUAUUAUUGGUGGUAGUGAUGAGUUGGAGGCAAUAUAAGUUUCUACCACAAGGAGGGUUGAUAUGAGCGUUUGAUGAAUAGUAUGCAGUAGUCAGAAUAAUAAAACAGAUGUACACUCAGCAUGGAGAAAUCUGAAUAAGAUACUGUUGGCUGAUGACAGUAAGACAUGGAUUGAGAUAUAUAGUAGAGUGUCAUUUAUAUAAAUUCAAAACACGUGCACAAGAUGAUCAUGUCUCUAGUAGCUACAAAAGUGCUUGAUACAGAGUAGGCCUUCAGUAAAUUGUUUUACUUGUUGUCAAUAAAAAUAUAUAUACUAAAUAAAUAUCUAACAUUUAUGUAAGUUAAGAAUACAUAGACAUAUACAUAUUUUAAGGGUAUAUACAAAUGCGAAACAUAAUUUAAGGGUACGGCUCUUCUGGAUAGUCCAGCGUUCAAAUGGAGUUCUCUGGAGUGAAGUAAAAUUAAUUCACAAACCUCUGUUGCAUCCAAGGUCAAAUACUCUCACGAACACCCACUCUCUGUUCCCUGGUUUAAUACUCACUGAGUAACAUUCUGAAGCCUGAGACUUUUAUACAUACCCAGUUUCCAGAAAAGGCACAAAGAAGCUUUCCCCAAAAGAAAAUACAUGAAUAUUCCAUUUAUUUAAAAACAUCCGAGCAGGUCUAAGCAAUAUAAAUUAAUAUAGCAGCAUCAGUGUCUUGUGAGUUAAGACGAGUGUCCUAAGAUUUAGUUGCUUAACUGAUUCCUCUAUGUCCCUAAAUCAAAUGAUGAAAUACAGAUUUAGGUUCCAUUUUUUUGAAAGAAUACUUCAUAGGUCAUUCUGUCUACUUCCUACUGCACCACAUUUAGGAGGGAGGCACAUCAUGUGUGGUUGUCUCUUUAGUAAUUCUGAGAUUGGUCAAGGGGUCCAGGUGGUGUCUGACCUUAUUCCAUCAUUACAAAAGAAGUCACCAUCUACUUUUUACCUAGUGGUUUCAGUAUCUUUGGAUAAUCACUGCCCGGAUUUAUCAAGGUUUGCAAAAUGAUUUUCUAAUUCUGUGGUUCCUUCUAUACACAUUAGCUGGGAUUCUUCAAAAUGUAACUUACAAAACAAACAAAAUCACUAUCAAGACUUGACAUUCCUUCUUCCAUAUCAAUUUUCAGAAUAGUGAUAAAAGUUACCAGUAAUGAUUUCUAGUGGAGACCAAUAUGUUUUUCUCAUCAUUAUAUACUUUUUUUUUUUUUUGAGACAGAGUCUUGCUCUGUCACCAGGCUAGAGUGCAGUGGUGUGAUCUCUGCUCACUGCAACUUCCGCAUCCUGGGUUCAAGCAAUUCUCCUGCCUCAGCCUCCCAAGUAGCUGGGACUACAGGUGCACACCACCACGCCCAGCUGAUUUUUGUAGUUUUAGUAGAGACAGGGUUUCACCAUAUUGGCCAGGAUGGUCUCGAUCUCUUGACCUCGUGACCUGCCCACCUCAGCCUCCCAAAGUGCUGGGAUUACAGGCAUGAGCCACUGCGCCCAGCCCAUAAAUUUUUAUAUAUUUGAUGAGGUUGAAUUAAUUGCCAUCAUUAUUCUCUUUUCUCUCUCUCUUUAGGAUCCUUAAACAGCUUAUAUUCAAUAAACUGCAUAUGUUUAAAUGGCACACUUUGUAAAGUUUGGUGAUACUGUACAGUCACAAAAGCAUAAUCAAUGUAGCAAACAUAUCUAUUGUAAUCUAAAAUGUCCUUGUGCCUUUUUUAACCUCCUGCUCCUCCUCCAUACUAUAUCCCCAGGCGACCUCUGAUUUACUUUAUGUUGGAAUUUUUGAGAAAUUCAUACAAAUGGCAUUAUUUAGUAUGUACUCUUUGUGUCUGACUGCUUUUACUCAGCAUAAUUAUUUUGAGAUUCAACAUGUUGUCUGUAUCAAUACCUUUAAUUGUCAAGUGGUAUGCUAUUGUAUGACUAUGUCACAAUUGUUUAGCCAUCGAUGAACAUUUGGGUCGUUUCCAGUUUGGGGUUACUACAAAUAAAGCUGCUAAGAACAUUUUUAUAUAAAUCUUUGUGCAGACAUAGAUUUUAUUUCUAUGGGAUAAAUACCUACUAGUGGAAAGGCUACAUCAGAUAGUAGGGUAUAUACUUAACUUUUCAAAAAAAACUGCAAAUGUGCUUUCCAUAGAAGUGCUAUUGCACAUUUCUCCUGAGCAUGAGAAUUUCAAUUCUUCCCCAUUCUCUCCAAUAUUUAGUAUGGUCAGACCUUAUAAUUUUAUCCAUUUUAAUAGGAGUAUAUUAUGGUUUGAAUGUGUCCCCUCCAAAAUUCAGGUGUUGACAUUUAAUGGCCAAUGUGAUAGUAUCAAGAGAUAGGACCUUUAAGAGGUGGUUAGGUCCUGAGGACUCCUCACUCAUGAAUGGGAUUAAGAGAUUUCGUGCAGCUUUUGACUCCCUUGCCCUUUCACCUUUCACCAUGUGAGGACACAGUGUUCCUCCCCUCCAGAGGACGCCACAACUGGGCGCCAUCUGGGAAGCAGAGGGCAGUCCUCAAUAGACAAAGGAACCUGCCAGCAUCUUGAUCUGGGACCUUGCAGCCUCCAGAAACUAUGAGAAAUACAUUUUUGUUCUUUGAUAAAUUACCCAGUCUUCUGUAUUUUGUUAUGGCAGCACAAAAAGAACUGUGACACUGUGUACAUGUACUUAAUCGUGGUUUUACAGCAGUCUCCCUUUCUCUGCUGUUUCACUUUUUUGUUGUUUGUUUGUUUUGAGAUGGAGUCUCGUUCUUGUCGCCCAGUCUGGAGUGCAAUGGCGUGAUCUCGGCUCACCGCAACCUGUCCUCCUGGGUUCAAGCAAUUCUUCUGCCUCAGCCUCCGAAGUAGCUAGGCUUACAGACACGUGCCACCACACCCUGCCAAUUUUUGUAUUUUUAGUAGACAGGCUGUUAGGCAGGCUGGUCUUGAACUCCUAACCUCAGGUGAUCCGCCCACCUUGGCCUCCCAAAGUGCUGGGAUUACAGGCAUGAGCCACCGCACCCAGCAUGCUGAUUCACUUUCUGCAGUUUCAGUUACCCACAGUCAACCAUGGGCCAGAACAUAGUUACACUGCCACAAGUUGUGGAUGGGAGGGCUGGAUUUCCUGAACCCUUCCCAGCAUUGCUCGAGUUUCUUGGUUCCUCCGCUAGAGAAGAGGAGCCCCAGAGCUCUGUAGGCUCCAGAUGAAGUGACCACUUCUUAGCACCUCCACAAUUGACACCUCGUCUGUCACCACCUCUCUGCCUGGGUGACUACAGUGGUGGCCCCCUCCCUGCCCUCCAAGUGCCCACGCUUGCCCCUACAGUCUGUUCCCAACACAGCAGCCAGAGAGACCAUCUUGCAAUAAAAGUGCCCAAAUCAUAAGCAGACAUCUCAUUGGAUUUACUGAGCACACCCAGGUAUCCACCACCCAAGGGAAGCAACGAAGGUGACCCCACCCAGCAUUUACCCUGUGUCCCUAUCUUGGACAUUGAUUCUGCUCCAGAGGUCACAAUCUCAUGCCGCCAAUUGCCAUAGAUUCGUUUUGCUUGGUCUUAAACUUUAUAUAAAUGCUGGUACAAGUGGAUCUGCUCGGCACCUAUAACCUAAUUACCUCUCAGGCUCACACAAGUCUCUGGCCGCUAAGCGAAUGAUCUCCCAAAGGGAUUAUUCUCAAGCAGCACAGAAACUGUCCCUAUGCCUCAGGUGGCCCCAGAACUCUUUCGUACUAGAGACUUAUCUGUUAAUAAAGUUAACAAAGGAAAGUGGCCUUCCAAGAAUGUUUGUUUGGGCCACUACCUGGAAGAAAUAACACUUGACCAUGAGAGACUUGGCUGAGCAGUGCUGGGUCAGCUUAACCAAAGAAGACCAGCCAUCACCCACGGCAAGAGCAGCUCUGACUUGGACCCACUGUUCCCCCAGCCUGUUAGCAGCCUGUGAACAAUCUUUAAGUGACCCCUGGCCCUGUCACAUCUCCAUUCAACAGGGUUCUUGGGGAGGAUGUGUGGACCGAGAACAGUGCCCACCCACACCACCUGUAAGUGUGGCCACGGCAGCCAGCCAGCAUGGAUGCUAAGUAACAAGUGGUAUUGGGGCACAGAUGUGGCGGGAGCGCUUUGGGGCAAAGAAAGAGGUGCUGUGAGUGAGGACAGAAAGGAAGGGGAAAAAAAAGCCUCAUGGGUUAGAGCGCCUCUCACCUUUGGCUCUUCUUCAGAAGACUGGUAAAAGAAAACAAGAAGAGAAAUUGGUUUCCCUGACUUCUCUAAAGCAAGCGUUCUUCAGAAAAGAGAAUCGAUCAGCCUGGUUAAAGUGGAUAAACUAUGUGAUGUCCAUCCAGAGAGGUGUCUAUUAAUGGCUGUAAAAUGGAAAGAUGAAUCAAUGGGACCGAUUAAUAUUUAUGAAGAGUUGAACUAGGCAGAGUGAAAAAGCCUUGUAUAUUGGAUAAGAAAGGAAAAGCAUUGCACACCAUAGGAUGCGUUUGUUUGGCUAAGGUUUCUGUUUUGAUCACUGGGUAAUUGUAUAGAGCAGGGGCGUAUGGUAGAGAAAGAAAAUCUAUAUCUAGAAGUUAUUGACUUUAUGUACAAAAGCACUGGUUGGUGCCUAUUUUUGAGGACCACUCCAUCUUAAAAAUAACUUUGGUUUUGUACGGCCUAGUUGUGGUGGAAAAGGAGCUCCAAAGAGUAAGCAAGUUUCCUACAAAAAGAAUCCAAGCUGUUGAAACUACAAUUAAGAAAUGCAAAGAGUUACUAAUUUUACUACUUAGAGGAAAGGAAAUUCACAAGCAGGAAAGAAACUGUGGAUCAGGGCAAGUUGUAACUCUAGAGGUUCAGAGAUAGGAGCUCUAAUUACACCAGGGCAAGGGAGUACUGUUUGGGGAAAUUUCUGAAACAUGAAAUAGGAAAGCUGAGGGUCAAAAUGAUAUUGUGAUGUGAAUAAAUAGAGAAGACAUGUUUGCAUGGAGCUCAGCUGGGUAAUCAUGGAAAGAAGGAGGGGCGAAGGAGGAAACUGAAAAUCGAAAUAAAGAACAGAAGCACAGACCAUGAAAUAUGCCAAAUAUAGUGUGCAAAUACUCAGAAGGCAUGGAAAGAUAAGUUAGAAGCCAAAACUCAGUUAUCACUAUCGUGUGAAGGAACAAUAAAACUCUUAGCAAAAACAAAUGACUUAGCAUGAGACCAAUACUGCUUUCCUUAGGUAGCUUGGUCCAGAGGGAAAAGGCUGAUAUCACUCCCUAUCAAGGGUUUUUAGACGGUUUAAGUGAGCUCUGCAAGUGGGAGACACGGUGAUGAUUAUUGACAGUUGCUAUCUUUCAAGGGGGAGAAGCAAACUGAUGUUACACAUUAGAAUUAGUUAGCACCACCGAACACAGGUUACAAAAAUACUGGGAGGAAUUCUCUCUCCUGAGCACAUUACGCAAUAUUUGCAAAUGUGUGCAGGUAAGUGUUGACUCUCUCAUCAUGCUGGACCUGGAAAUGGUUCUCAGCAAAUCAUGGCAUGAUUUCUUUUUCAAAGUUGGGUACACGAAUAUUAUCGUAACCAGCUAAGAGCAGGGAGACGUGGCAUGGGAGACUAACAGAUAGUGCAGCUUUUAAGAGAAGACGUAGAAAUCAAUCUAGUAACAAAUAUUUAUUAAGCAUUGGAGUGUGCUAGGCACCAAGAGAAAAGAAACCUCCACAGCUGAUAAAGCCUUUCAAAAUAAUGUCCUCAGUUAAUUUGCACAUUUCCAUGAGGUAGGUGUUGUUAGCCAUUUCCGUUAAUGAGAAAAAAAAAAAUGAGAUUCAGAAAGGUUAAUUAAAUUGGAGAUCUCCUGAUUUUUUAGUUUUAUAUCCUUCCCGUGUCCUUUCCAGGCUUAUAUUCUGGUCCUAUCACUUCUCAGCUGAGUUACUUCAACAAGUUAUUUAUUCUCUGUGUUCCCAGCUGUCAAAAUGAAAAUGCCAGUACCCACCUGGUAAGGAGUGAGAGAACAUUUAUAAAAAUGCUCGGCUGGGUACCUGACACAUAGGAGGUCCUCAGUAAAUUUGUUUUCUCCCUUUCUUCCUGAAGUACGGUGGCAGAGGGAUUCAGCCAGCCAGCCUGGGUAGCACAAGCCAUGAUGCCCUGCUGAAUCUGUGUUCUAGGGUCGGACAGGGGGAGUCCUUUUGCCUAGAGGGAUGGUGUGCGAGGCCUAAGAGGACUUGGGCAGAGUCUUGAAGGACGAGCAGGAUUUGCUGUGGUGGAGAGGUGGUCACGGGUUGAGCAGAUAGGAGAACCAAGGAAUCAAGGCAGGGAAAGAGAGGGGAUGCAUGUGAAGGGCCAGGAGCUGUUAACUAGUUUGCUAAGCAGCAGGCGAGGAUUUAGAAGGAGUUGGAGAAGUGUGGAGGGAGCUGAGGCUCUUGUGAGGGGAACUUUUAUGCUAAGGGUUCCAACUUGGCCCUGUGAAUGAAGGUGAGCUGGGGAAGGUUUGUGAACUUGGAGUCUCACCUGUAAAAGAUUAAUCUGGUGCCAGUGUACAGAAUGGACCGUCAAGGAAGAGGUGGAAAAACAAGGAAAAUUUGUAUUUUAUAGACACACACACACAUAGACACAGAGCCCUUUUUAUUAGAAAACAUAUAAUCAACUUAACCCCAUUUUAAAUGGCUUGGACAUUAAUUUUACUCUUGUAAUUGAUUAUAGAGGUUUAAAACUGUUGUGUUUUUGCCUUUGUGACAUAUUAUGGCUGUAUCUAAAAUUUAUUUGAUGUUAAAUCAAGAACAAAACUCUUCAAUUCUAUUGUUGUUCCUAAGGUAAAAUAUAAUCUACUUUGAGUCAAUUCACUGUGUCAUAAACUUUCCAGGAAUGGGAAACUUGAUAAAAAGCAGAGACUCACUGCAUAUGACAAUAAUUAAAUCUAUAUUCAACAAGUAUAAAAGAAUGGUUGUAGGGGUGAGCAAUUUGGAAGAAAAAAAGCCACUUGACUUAAAUAUGACAGAAAAUCAUACUGAGGUCUGACACCCCAUGACCUUUUUUGAGAUUUGAGGUUAUGCCAUGUAUUUGAGAAUAAAUAAAAUCCAUUUAAGUGUCUAUAUUAUUAAAUGAAUCGUAUUUUCAGAAAGCAUUAGAUAAAGUCUGUUUUAGACCUUGGAAUCCAUUUUUCUCAUGAACACAAUAUCGUAAAUAGAUGAGAAUUGAGUUCCCAGUCUAUAAAACCCUUAUUAAAUCAUCAUGUAGCUGAACUAUUCUAUAUUGGCAAUCAAUAGAGUUGAGUAAUCUUUUCAUAGUCACAGUGAUAAAAAAACAAAAAAUAUUGAAGAAGUAAUUUUUCAAAAAAUAGAGGUAUAGCACGUUUAAUUAUGGAUUAAGAGGCCGAUAAAUAAUUUUGUGGUGAUUCUGAAGAGACUAUCUGGGCACUUUCAAAAGCUUUAGAGUUGAUAAACUGUUCUUAUUAUGUCUAAUUUAAUAUUCAAAAUUUAUGACCAUUCAUUCAUUCAUCAAACAUAACUUAGAUAUCUACAAUAGGUAUUGUGCUAGCCGCUGGAGAUUUCAAUGUAAUGAAACAGUUCCUAACUUAAAGAAAAGCAGCACUUGAAAUUUUACUAAUGCAUUCAGUCAUUUACUUAACAGAUACUGAAUGUUUGCUACCGUGAGUCUAUUAUUCCUAUGCGUAUCAACUCCCAGGAAGCAUGUGUAGCUCGCUGAUGGAAUACAGAGAAAUAUUCCUGAGAGAAUACCAAAAAUAGUCCGUUUGUGCUACUAAAACAAAAUGGCUGAGACCGAGUAGCUAGCUUAUAAAGAACAGAAAGCUAUUUUCUCACAGUUCUGGAGGCUGGGAAGUCCAAGAUAAAAGCACCAACGGGUUUGGUUGUCUGGCAAAGGCUUCUCUCUGUUUCCAAGAUGGUGCCUUGUUGCUGUGUCCUCCAGAGGGAAGGAAUGCUGUGUCUUCACAUGGCAGAAGGCUGAAGGGCAAGUGAGCUAACACUGUGUGAAGCUUAUUUUAUAAGGACCUUAAUCCCAUUCAAGAGGGAG